AUACGUAGGGAGCAAGCGUUGUCCGGAUUUAUUGGGUGUAAAGGGUGCGUAGGCGGCCGCAUAAGUCAGGCGUGUAAUUCAGAGGCUUAACCUCUGAACUGCGCUUGAAACUGUGUGGCUUGAGUGGAGUAGAGGCAGAUGGAAUUUCCAGUGUAGCGGUGAAAUGCGUAGAUAUUGGAAGGAACACCAGUGGCGAAGGCGAUCUGCUGGGCUCUAACUGACGCUGAGGCACGAAAGCACGGGGAGC
rnacentral:rRNA from 1 species